GCCUCAAGUCACAAUGCAGUGAGUAUAGGUAGAUUGGAUUGUAUUCUUAUUUCUUAUAGGCCUAUGGCAUGAGACAUUUAGUCGUUAUCUAAUUUGAUGGUUUGCCUUGAUAUCUUGGAUUAUAAUAGGAUUUUGGUUUAUGUGGAAGCAAGGUCCUCCUUAUUUGAGCAGAUUUGUGAUCGUCAGUAUAAGGGUAGCAAGUUGUGCUUUCUUUGUGACUAGGUGGUGAGUGG
rnacentral:lncRNA from 1 species